GACGAACGCUGGCGGCGUGCUUAACACAUGCAAGUCGAACGGACAGACAGAGAGCUUGCUCUCUUGAAGUUAGUGGCGAACGGGUGAGUAACGCGUAAUCAACCUGCCCUUCAGAGGGGGAUAACAACGGGAAACCGUUGCUAAUACCGCGUACGAUUCAUGAACGGCAUCGUUUACGAAUGCAAGGUGGCCUCUAUGUAUAAGCUAUCGCUGAAGGAGGGGAUUGCGUCUGAUUAGCUAGUUGGAGGGGUAACGGCCCACCAAGGCAAUGAUCAGUAGCCGGUCUGAGAGGAUGAACGGCCACAUUGGGACUGAGACACGGACCAAACUCCUACGGGAGGCAGCAGUGGGGAAUCUUCCGCAAUGGACGAAAGUCUGACGGAGCAACGCCGCGUGAGUGAUGAAGGUCUUCGGAUUGUAAAGCUCUGUUAAUCGGGACGAAAGAGUUCUGCGUGAAUAAUGCAGAAAAGUGACGGUACCGGAAUAGAAAGCCACGGCUAACUACGUGCCAGCAGCCGCGGUAA
rnacentral:rRNA from 1 species